rnacentral:tRNA from 1 species
GAGAGGAUAGUUUAACGGGAAAAAUCCCGCCGAAGUUGACAGCUCGGCGGCGACGCGGGUUCGAGGCCCGCUCUUCUCA